UAAGGAAUAUUGGGCAAUGGAGGCAACUCUGACCCAGCCAUGCCGCGUGGAGGAUGAAGGUCCUCUGGAUUGUAAACUUCUUUUAUUUGGGAAGAAAUGCCAAUUUUCUAAUUGGUUUGACGGUACCAGAUGAAUAAGCACCGGCUAACUCCGUGCCAGCAGCCGCGGUAAUACGGAGGGUGCAAGCGUUAUCCGGAUUCACUGGGUUUAAAGGGUGCGUAGGCGGGCAUAUAAGUCAGUGGUGAAAUCCCCGAGCUUAACUUGGGAACUGCCGUUGAUACUAUGUGUCUUGAAUAUCGCGGAGGUAAGCGGAAUAUGUCAUGUAGCGGUGAAAUGCAUAGAUAUGACAUAGAACACCGAUUGCGAAGGCAGCUUACUACACGAUCAUUGACGCUGAGGCACGAAAGCGUGGGGAGCAAACA
rnacentral:rRNA from 1 species